GAUAAACGCUGGCGGCGUGCACGAGACAUGCAAGUCGAACGAACGAGCUUGCUCGUUAGUGGCGGACGGCUGAGUAACGCGUAGGUGACCUGCCCCGAAGUGGGGGAUAACUGCCCGAAAGGGUGGCUAAUACCGCAUGUGGCGACGUCUUCAGUGACGUCAUCAAAGCCGCGAGGCGCUUCGGGAGGGGCCUGCGUCCGAUUAGCUCGUUGGUGGGGUAAUGGCUCACCAAGGCGACGAUCGGUAGGUGGUCUGAGAGGACGAUCACCCAGACUGGGACUGAGACACGGCCCAGACUCCUACGGGAGGCAGCAGUCGGGAAUUUUGCUCAAUGGGCGCAAGCCUGAAGCAGCAACGCCGCGUGAGGGAUGAAGGCCUUCGGGUUGUAAACCUCUUUUUCCAGGGACGAUGAUGACGGUACCUGAAGAAUAAGUCACGGCUAACUACGUGCCAGCAGCCGCAGUAAGAC
rnacentral:rRNA from 1 species